GCCGGGCAUGGUGGUGCAUGUCUGCAAUUCCAGCUACUUGGGAGGCUGAGGCAGGAGAAUUGCUUGAACCCAGGAGGCGGAGGUUGCAGUGAGCUCAUAUCGUGCCACUGUACUUCAGCCUGGGUGACAGAGCAACACUCUGUCUCAA
rnacentral:SRP_RNA from 1 species